rnacentral:rRNA from 1 species
UACGUAGGGGGCGAGCGUUAUCCGGAGUUACUGGGCGUAAAGCGUCCGCAGGCGGUCUCUUAAGUUUGAACUGACAGUUCCUGGCUUAACCGGGGAAGUGGUUCGAAAACUGGGAGACUUGAGGGUCCGAGAGGAAGAUGGAAUUCCAGGUGAAGCGGUGAAAUGCGUAGAUAUCUGGAGGAACACCAAAGGCGAAGGCAGUCUUCUGGAGGAAACCUGACGCUCAGGGACGAAAGCUAGGGGAGCGAACGGG